AACGAACGCCGGCGGCAGGCCUAACACAUGCAAGUCGAGCGAAGCCUUCGGGCUUAGCGGCGGACGGGUGAGUAACGCGUGGGAACGUGCCCUUUGGUACGGAAUAGCCCCGGGAAACUGGGAGUAAUACCGUAUGUGGUCGAGAGACGAAAGAUUUAUCGCCAAAGGAUCGGCCCGCGUUGGAUUAGGUAGUUGGUGGGGUAAUGGCCUACCAAGCCGACGAUCCAUAGCUGGUUUGAGAGGAUGAUCAGCCACACUGGGACUGAGACACGGCCCAGGCUCCUACGGGAGGCAGCAGUGGGGAAUCUUAGACAAUGGGGGAAACCCUGAUCUAGCCAUGCCGCGUGAUCGAUGAAGGCCUUAGGGUUGUAAAGAUCUUUCAGUGGGGAAGAUAAUGACUGUACCCACAGAAGAAGCCCCGGCUAACUCCGUGCCAGCAGCCGCAGUAACAC
rnacentral:rRNA from 1 species